GACGAACGCUGGCGGCGCGCUUAACACAUGCAAGUCGAACGGAAAGGCCUGCUUUCCCUUGUGGAUUGCGGGUACUCGAGUGGCGAACGGGUGAGUAACACGUGAGUGAUCUGCCCCCAACUUGGGUAUAAGCCUGGGAAACUGGGUCUAAUUCCCGAUAGGACUGCAGGGUGGUGCCUGUGGUGGAAAACGAUUUUCUAGUGGUUGGGGAUGAGCUCGCGGCCUAUCAGCUUGUUGGUGGGGUAAUGGCCUACCAAGGCGGCGACGGGUAGCCGGUCUGAGAGGGUGGACGGCCACAUUGGGACUGAGAUACGGCCCAGACUCCUACGGGAGGCAGCAGUGGGGAAUAUUGCACAAUGGGCGGAAGCCUGAUGCAGCGACGCCGCGUGGGGGAUGACGGCCUUCGGGUUGUAAACUCCUUUCGACCGCGAGGAAGCCACCUGGUUGGAAGGGUGGUGACGGUAGUGGUAGAAGAAGCACCGGCUAACUACGUG
rnacentral:rRNA from 1 species